UUGACGGGACCGCACAAGCGGUGGAUGAUGUGGUUAAUUCGAUGCAACGCGAAAACCUUACCACCUUGACAUGUACGGAACUCGCCAGAGAUGGCUUGGUGCUCGAAAGAGAACCGUAACACAGGUGCUGCAUGGCUGUCGUCAGCUCGUGUCGUGAGAUGUUGGGUUAAGUCCCGCAACGAGCGCAACCCUUGUCAUUAGUUGCUACAUUUAGUUGGGGCACUCUAAUGAGACUGCCGGUGACAAGCCGGAGGAAGGUGGGGAUGACGUCAAGUCCUCAUGGCCCUUAUAGGUGGGGCUACACACGUCAUACAAUGGCCGGUACAGAGGGUAGCCAACCCGCGAGGGGGAGCCAAUCCCACAAAGCCGGUCGUAGUCCGGAUCGCAGUCUGCAACUCGACUGCGUGAAGUCGGAAUCGCUAGUAAUCGCGGAUCAGCAUGUCGCGGUGAAUACGUUCCCGGGUCUU
rnacentral:rRNA from 1 species